rnacentral:rRNA from 1 species
CCAGACUCCUACGGGAGGCAGCAGUGAGGAAUAUUGGUCAAUGGGCGGAAGCCUGAACCAGCCAAGUCGCGUGAGGGAAUAAGGCCCUACGGGUCGUAAACCUCUUUUGCCGGGGAGCAAGGGCCGGGACGCGUCCCGGCCCGGAGAGUACCCGGAGAAAAAGCAUCGGCUAACUCCGUGCCAGCAGCCGCGGUAAUACGGAGGAUGCGAGCGUUAUCCGGAUUUAUUGGGUUUAAAGGGUGCGUAGGCGGGCUUUUAAGUCAGCGGUAAAAAUUCGGGGCUCAACCCCGUCCGGCCGUUGAAACUGGGGGCCUUGAGUGGGCGAGAAGAAGGCGGAAUGCGUGGUGUAGCGGUGAAAUGCUUAGAUAUCACGAAGAACUCCGAUUGCGAAGGCAGCAUACGGCAGCGCUACUGACGCUGAAGCUCGAAGGCGCGGGUAUCGAACAGGAUUAGAUACCCGAGUAUC